rnacentral:rRNA from 1 species
GACGAACGCUGGCGGCGUGCCUAAUACAUGCAAGUAGAACGCACAGUUUAUACCGUAGCUUGCUCCACCAUAAACUGUGAGUUGCGAACGGGUGAGUAACGCGUAGGUAACCUGCCUGGUAGCGGGGGAUAACUAUUGGAAUCGAUAGCUAUUACCACAUAAUAUUGAUUAUUGCAUGAUAAUUGAUUGAAAGAUGCUAUUGCAUCACUACCAGAUGUACCUGCGUUGUAUUAGCUAGUAGGUGAGGUAACGGCUCACCUAGGCGACGAUACAUAGCCGACCUGAGAGGGUGAUCGGCCACACUGGGACUGAGACACGGCCCAGACUCCUACGGGAGGCAGCAGUAGGGAAUCUUCGGCAAUGGACGAAAGUCUGACCGAGCAACGCCGCGGGAGUGAAGAAGGUUUUCGGAUCGUAAAGCUCUGUUGUAAGAGAAGAACGGGGGUGAGAGUGGAAAGUUCACACUGUGACGGUAUCUUACCAGAAAGGGACGGCUAACUACGUG